ensembl:lncRNA
AGUGGGGACAAAGUUUCAGUGCAUUCCGUUGAUGUAGACGGCGUGAAAACAAAAACAAGUAUGCCGGCUCACUGUGCUGCAUACAAUUGCACACUGUGUCGUACGAUUGAGACAAGGAAACUUGGAAUGACUUUUCAUAGGUUUCCCAGAGACUAUGGGUUGAGGAGGAAUUGGAAGUUUGUCGGCUUAGACCUGGUGUCAUUCCAUCAGUGUUAAACUUCCCGGCUCAUCUUGGAAGAGUACGUGCCAGAAAGACCACAACCAAGCAGCCUUGAGAUCUUAGACAGCGUCUCCCUGAGGUCCCUCUCUAUCUCCCCACACAUCCACCAGCCACUGGAACACAUCUCCAAAGUUCUGCCGGGCCAGCUCAGCUUCCCCUCAGAAGAAGUUCCACCAGAUGAAGGAGCCUUUUGAGGGCAGCUGGCAUCGUGAUUGGACUGUACUUUGGUCUGUUCCAAUCCAGCUUCAGCUCCAGAGACGACAGGCGGGACGAGUCAAUGGAGGCCUGGUGGACGAAGGCAUGCAGCUGAGUACAAUCCAGAAAACAACAGAGGAGGAGUGCAGUGGCCCAGGGCCACAACAAACAGAGUAGCAUCGUAUGUCUCUUAGAAAACAUCAUAGUAUAGCCUUUGCUAUGAAAAAACGCCAGAUAUUGUAUAUUGUACAAAUAACAAGUCAAAGGAACGAGAC